UCGGAGGUACUCGAGUGGCGAACGGGUGAGUAACACGUGGGCAAUCUGCCCUGCACUUCGGGAUAAGCCUGGGAAACUGGGUCUAAUACCGGAUAGGACCUCAAGACGCAUGUCUUCUGGUGGAAAGCUUUUGCGGUGUGGGAUGGGCCCGCGGCCUAUCAGCUUGUUGGUGGGGUGACGGCCUACCAAGGCGACGACGGGUAGCCGGCCUGAGAGGGUGUCCGGCCACACUGGGACUGAGAUACGGCCCAGACUCCUACGGGAGGCAGCAGUGGGGAAUAUUGCACAAUGGGCGCAAGCCUGAUGCAGCGACGCCGCGUGGGGGAUGACGGCCUUCGGGUUGUAAACCUCUUUCACCAUCGACGAAGGUCCGGGUUUUCUCGGAUUGACGGUAGGUGGAGAAGAAGCACCGGCCAACUACGUGCCAGCAGCCGCGGUAAUACGUAGGGUGCGAGCGUUGUCCGGAAUUACUGGGCGUAAAGAGCUCGUAGGUGGUUUGUCGCGUUGUUCGUGAAAUCUCACGGCUUAACUGUGAGCGUGCGGGCGAUACGGGCAGACUAGAGUACUGCAGGGGAGACUGGAAUUCCUGGUGUAGCGGUGGAAUGCGCAGAUAUCAGGAGGAACACCGGUGGCGAAGGCGGGUCUCUGGGCAGUAACUGACGCUGAGGAGCGAAAGCGUGGGGAGCGAACAGGAUUAGAUACCCUGGUAGUCCACGCCGUAAACGGUGGGUACUAGGUGUGGGUUUCCUUCCUUGGGAUCCGUGCCGUAGCUAACGCAUUAAGUACCCCGCCUGGGGAGUACGGCCGCAAGGCUAAAACUCAAAGGAAUUGACGGGGGCCCGCACAAGCGGCGGAGCAUGUGGAUUAAUUCGAUGCAACGCGAAGAACCUUACCUGGGUUUGACAUGCACAGGACGCGUCUAGAGAUAGGCGUUCCCUUGUGGCCUGUGUGCAGGUGGUGCAUGGCUGUCGUCAGCUCGUGUCGUGAGAUGUUGGGUUAAGUCCCGCAACGAGCGCAACCCUUGUCUCAUGUUGCCAGCGGGUAAUGCCGGGGACUCGUGAGAGACUGCCGGGGUCAACUCGGAGGAAGGUGGGGAUGACGUCAAGUCAUCAUGCCCCUUAUGUUCCAGGGCUUCACACAUGCUACAAUGGCCGGUACAAAGGGCUGCGAUGCCGUAAGGUUAAGCGAAUCCUUUUAAAGCCGGUCUCAGUUCGGAUUGGGGUCUGCAACUCGACCCCAUGAAGUCGGAGUCGCUAGUAAUCGCAGAUCAGCAACGCUGCGGUGAAUACGUUCCCGGGCCUUGUACACACCGCCCGUCACGUCAUGAAAGUCGGUAACACCCGAAGC
rnacentral:rRNA from 1 species